rnacentral:tRNA from 1 species
GCGGACGUGGCGGAACUGGUAGACGCGCAGCCUUGAGGAGGCUGUGGGAGCAAUCUCGUGGAGGUUCAAGUCCUCUCGUCCGCACCA